AAAAGGCGUUUGAGUCGCGUGUCCUGGACCCGAAGCGGGAUGAUCUAGCCCUGAGCAGGUUGAAGCGCGGGUAAGACCGCGUGGAGGACCGAACCCACCUGGGUUGAAAACCGGGGGGAUGACUUGGGGCUAGGGGUGAAAGGCCAAUCAAAUUCCGUGAUAGCUGGUUCUCUCCGAAAUGCAUUUAGGUGCAGCGUCGGGGAUUACGUCCGGGGGGUAGAGCUACUGGAUGCUUGAGGGCCCGUAUCGGGUACCGACAGCAGCCAAACUCCGAAUACCCGUGACGCGUAUCCCGGCAGUGAGUCGGCGGGGGAUAAGCUCCGUCGUCGAAAGGGAGACAGCCCAGAUCGUCGUCUAAGGUCCCCAAGCGCGUGCUAAGUGGGAAAGGAUGUGGAGUCGCAUAGACAGCCAGGAGGUUGGCUCAGAAGCAGCCACCCUUGAAAGAGUGCGUAACAGCUCACUGGUCUAGUGGUUCCGCGCCGACAAUGUAGCGGGGCUCAAGCACGCCACCGAAGACGCGGCAGCGUCCGUCUGGACGCUGGGUAGGAGAGCGUCCCCAUCGGGGCGAAGCGGCGGCGCAAGCCUGCCGUGGACCGUUGGGGAGUGAGAAUGCAGACAUGAGUAGCGAGAGGCGGGUGCGAAUCCCGCCCGCUGGAUGACCAAGGGUUCCGGGGCCACGUUCGUCGUCCCCGGGUGAGUCGGGUCCUAAGGCGAGGCCGACAGGCGUAGUCGAAUGGAUGAACGGGCUGAUAUUCCCGUACCGGCAGCGAACCGAAACAACCGAGGCCUGGGGUGCUAACCUCCGGGCCCGUGCCGUCUCCCCUUUCGGGGGGUCGCGGCGCGGGCGCGUUGGGAUCCCCCCUCGUAGUAGGUCAGCGCAGGAGUGACGCAUCAGGGCAGCCGGCCGCGGAGGUGGUUUUCCGUGGUCAAGCGUUCGAGCCCGUCCCGCAGGCAAAUCCGCGGGGCGUCGGGGCGAGGCGUGAUGAUGGGGGCCUUACGGCCCGAAUCCGGUGAUCCGUGGUGCCGAGAAAAGCUUCGGCGUCAGGCGCGUUGCCGCCCGUACCCCAAACCGACACUGGUGGUCAGGUAGAGAAUACCAAAGCGAUCGAGCGAAUCCUGGUCAAGGAACUCGGCAAAUUGCUCCCGUGCCUUCGGCAUAAGGGAGACCCCCUGCGGUGAUGAGCGGCGGGGGGUGGCACAGGCCAGGGGGUAGCGACUGUUUACCAAAAACACAGGAGCGUGCGAAGGCGCAAGCCGCUGUAUACGCUCUGACGCCUGCCCGGUGCCGGAAGGUUAAGAGGAUCCGUCAGCUUUCUGCGAAGCGGUGAAUUCAAGCCCCGGUAAACGGCGGUGGUAACUAUAACCAUCCUAAGGUAGCGAAAUUCCUUGUCGGGUAAGUUCCGACCUGCACGAAUGGCGUAACGACUUCCCCACUGUCUCGACCAGGAGCUCGGCGAAAUUGCAGUACGAGUAAAGAUGCUCGUUAAGCGCAGAAGGACGAAAAGACCCCGGGACCUUUACUAUACCUUGGUAUUGGCAUUAGGCGCGGAUUGUGUAGCAUAGGCGGGAGGCUUCGAGGCGGGUGCGCCAGCAUCCGCGGAGCCGCAAGGUGAAAUACCGCUCUGUUCUCGUUUGAUGUCUAACCUCGAACAGUCAUCCUGUUCAGGGACAGUGCCUGGCGGGUAGUUUAACUGGGGCGGUUGCCUCCCAAAGAGUAACGGAGGCGCUCAAAGGUCCGCUCGGCCCGGUUGGCAAUCGGGUGUCGAGUGUAAUCGCACAAGCGGGCUUGACUGCGAGAUCGACGGAUCGAGCAGGGACGAAAGUCGGAGAUAGUGAUCCGGUGCCGGCGCACGGGCGCGGCAUCGCUCAACGGAUAAAAGGUACCCCGGGGAUAACAGGCUGAUCAUUCCCAAGAGUCCAUAUCGACGGGAUGGUUUGGCACCUCGAUGUCGGCUCGUCGCAUCCUGGGGCUGGAGCAGGUCCCAAGGGUUCGGCUGUUCGCCGAUCAAAGCGGCACGCGAGCUGGGUUCAGAACGUCGUGAGACAGUUUGGUCUCUAUCCUCUGCGCUCGUUGGAAUCCUGAGGAGGCCUGCCCAUAGUACGAGAGGACCUGGGUGGACGAACCUCUGGUAUGCCGGUCGUCACGCCAGUGGCGCGGCCGGUUGGCUACGUUCGGAAGGGAUAACCGCUGAAAGCAUCUAAGCGGGAAGCCUUCUCCAAGAUAAGGAUUCCAUGCGGCCCCGAGCCGCUGAAGACCCCAUGCAGAACACGUGGUCGAUAGGCCGGACGUGGAAGCCCCGCGAGGGGUGGAGCCGACCGGUACUAAUGGUCGAGAGGCAACCCACA
rnacentral:rRNA from 1 species